AUUGAACGCUGGCGGCAGGCCUAACACAUGCCAGUCGAGCGGAUGAAGGGAGCUUGCUCCUGGAUUCAGCGGCGGACGGGUGAGUAAUGCCUAGGAAUCUGCCUGGUAGUGGGGGAUAACGUCCGGAAACGGGCGCUAAUACCGCAUACGUCCUGAGGGAGAAAGUGGGGGAUCUUCGGACCUCACGCUAUCAGAUGAGCCUAGGUCGGAUUAGCUAGUUGGUGGGGUAGAGGCCUACCAAGGCGACGAUCCGUAACUGGUCUGAGAGGAUGAUCAGUCACACUGGAACUGAGACACGGUCCAGACUCCUACGGGAGGCAGCAGUGGGGAAUAUUGGACAAUGGGCGGAAGCCUGAUCCAGCCAUGCCGCGUGUGUGAAGAAGGUCUUCGGAUUGUAAAGCACUUUAAGUUGGGAGGAAGGGCAGUAAGUUAAUACCUUGCUGUUUUGACGUUACCAACAGAAUAAGCACCGGCUAACUUCGUG
rnacentral:rRNA from 1 species